AUUGAACGCUGGCGGCAUGCCUAACACAUGCAAGUCGAACGGUAAACGCGGAGAGCUUUGCUCUCUGGCGACGAGUGGCGACGGGUGAGUAACACGUAGGAAUCUUCCCAAUAGUGGGGGACAGCCCGAGGAAACUCGGAUUUAAUACCGCAUACGCCCUACGGGGAAAGCUGGGGACCUCUUCGGAGACCUGGCGCUAUUGGAUGAGCCUACGUCGGAUUAGCUUGUUGGUAGGGUAAUGGCCUACCAAGGCGACGAUCCGUAGCUGGUCUGAGAGGACGAUCAGCCACACUGGGACUGAGACACGGCCCAGACUCCUACGGGAGGCAGCAGUGGGGAAUAUUGGACAAAUGGGCGAAAGCCUGAUCCAGCAAUGCCGCGUGUGUGAAGAAGGCCUGCGGGUUGUAAAGCACUUUCAGUAGGAAGAAAAGCUUGGGUGAAUACCCCAAGUUCUGACGUUACCUACAGAAGAAGCACCGGCUAACUCCGUG
rnacentral:rRNA from 1 species